rnacentral:lncRNA from 1 species
GUGUACUUGCUACCCAUUCAUGUUCGGUACACAUGAUGUAAACCAGUCGAUUUUAUAAUGAAUUCUGUNGGUAAGUUUUAAUAUGUUCGUCUAAUUCUAUUCUAGUACAGGGAUAGAAAUGUAUGCUAAUGCAGUUGAGAUUUUCCAUCAGUCUUAUGAUUUGUUUUGUGUUUGAUCUUCUUCUCUUGAAGAACAUGUUUGUUGUCCAGAUGAUGUUUUCUUGAGCUUGAUUCAUCUCGGUUGAUAUAUUUUAUGAUUUAUAGUCGCU